rnacentral:misc_RNA from 1 species
CCUAAGUUGAGGCAGCG